GGAGGAGUCAUUUGGUGUGUUUUAAGUGAAAUCCAAUCUCUACAACUACACAAUACACCGACCACUCCAUUUCAUAACGAACUUUGUACGAACCUGAAUUGUCCAAUUUUAUGGACCAAUCGAUAUCGGAUUGAGUCCAAAACUUGGGGAACAUCAUAAUACGGUGGGAGGAGUCAUUUGUUGUCGUUUGAGUGAAAUUCAAUGGCUGAAACUAUGCAACACACUAACCACUCCA
rnacentral:lncRNA from 1 species